rnacentral:rRNA from 1 species
AGAGUUUGAUCAUGGCUCAGGAUGAACGCUGGCGGUCUGCUUAACACAUGCAAGUCGAACGGAAUCUUUCGGGAUUUAGUGGCGGACGGGUGAGUAACGCGUGAGAAUCUGCCUUCAGGUUCGGGACAACAGUUGGAAACGGCUGCUAAUACCGGAUGUGCCGAGAGGUGAAAGCUUAAGUGCCUGGAGAUGAGCUCGCGUCUGAUUAGCUAGUAGGAGUGGUAACGGCACCCCUAGGCGACGAUCAGUAGCUGGUCUGAGAGGAUGAUCAGCCACACUGGGACUGAGACACGGCCCAGACUCCUACGGGAGGCAGCAGUGGGGAAUUUUCCGCAAUGGGCGCAAGCCUGACGGAGCAAGACCGCGUGAGGGAAGAAGGUCUGUGGAUUGUAAACCUCUUUUGAUCGGGAAGAAGACAGUGACGGUACCGAUCGAAUCAG